UGGCGAACGGGUGAGUAACGCGUGAGGAACCUGCCUCAAAGAGGGGGACAACAGUUGGAAACGACUGUUAAUACCGCAUAAGCCCACGGCUCGGCAUCGAGCAGAGGGAAAAGGAACAAUCCGCUUUGAGAUGGCCUCGCGUCCGAUUAGCUAGUUGGUGAGGUAACGGCCCACCAAGGCGACGAUCGGUAGCCGGACUGAGAGGUUGAACGGCCACAUUGGGACUGAGACACGGCCCAG
rnacentral:rRNA from 1 species